CCUANGGGUGUCAGCAGUGAGGAAUAUUGCACAAUGGGCGAAAGCCUGAUGCAGCAACGCCGCGUGGAGGAUGACGCAUUUCGGUGUGUAAACUCCUUUUAUGAGUCAAGAAAAUGACGGUAGCUCAUGAAUAAGCACCGGCUAACUCCGUGCCAGCAGCCGCGGUAAUACGGAGGGUGCAAGCGUUACUCGGAAUCACUGGGCGUAAAGGACGCGUAGGCUGUCUAGCAAGUCAGAUGUGAAAUCCAAUGGCUCAACCAUUGAACUGCAUUUGAAACUGCUAGACUAGAGUAUGGGAGGGGGAGAUGGAAUUAGUGGUGUAGGGGUAAAAUCCGUAGAUAUCACUAGGAAUACCGAAAGCGAAGGCGAUCUCCUGGAACAUAACUGACGCUGAGGCGUGAAAGCGUGGGGAGCAAACAGGAUUAGAUACCCUGNUANUC
rnacentral:rRNA from 1 species